rnacentral:rRNA from 1 species
UACGUAGGGUGCGAGCGUUAAUCGGAAUUACUGGGCGUAAAGCGUGCGCAGGCGGUUUUGUAAGCCAGAUGUGAAAUCCCCGGGCUUAACCUGGGAAUGGCAUUUGGGACUGCAAGGCUGGAGUGUGGCAGAGGAGACUGGAAUUCCUGGUGUAGCAGUGAAAUGCGUAGAUAUCAGGAGGAAUACCGAUGGCGAAGGCAGCCUCCUGGGCCAGCACUGACGCUCAUGCACGAAAGCGUGGGGAGCAAACAGG